rnacentral:rRNA from 1 species
CCUACGGGUGGCAGCAGUGAGGAAUAUUGGUCAAUGGGCGCGAGCCUGAACCAGCCAAGUCGCGUGAAGGAUGAAUGUCCUACGGGUUGUAAACUUCUUUUAUCAAGGCAUAAAGUGAGGCACGUGUGCCUUUUUGUAUGUACUUUAUGAAUAAGGAUCGGCGAACUCCGCGCCAGCAGCCGCGGUAAUACGGAGGAUCCGAGCGUUAUCCGGAUUUAUUGGGUUUAAAGGGAGCGUAGAUGGGUUGUUAAGUCAGUUGUGAAAGUUUGCGGCUCAACCGUAAAAUUGCAAUUGAUACUGGCAGCCUUGAGUACAGUAGAGGUAGGCGGAAUUCGUGGUGUAGCGGUGAAAUGCGUAGAUAUCACGAAGAACUCCGAUUGCGAAGGCAGCUUACUAAACUGCCACUGACAUUGAUGCUCGAAAGUGUGGGUAUCAAACAGGAUUAGAUACCCCGGUAGUC